rnacentral:sRNA from 1 species
GCGUGUACAAUACUUGUUGAGUUCGGGGCAGACGUGAACAGAGCAGACAAAGAUGACCUAACUGCGCUGCACUGCGCGUCCAGCAGAGGUCAAACCGCCUGCGUGGAGACCUUAGUCAAAAACUGCAAUGCUGACCUAGAUCCAGUGGACAAAAACCAGUGCACGCCCCUGUUUUAUGCCGCGACACUGGGUCACAUUGAGUGUUUGAAAAAACUGUUGGACCUGGGCGCAGACAGCAGUCGCACUGACACUCGAGGCAGAACUGUAGCUCAUUGUGCAGUGGUCAGUGGUUCCACAGAAGCUCUUCAGGUUUUGAGUGAUUACAAUAUUGACCUGUGGACAAGAAAUCUAAAAGGCGAUCAACCGAUCCAUGAGGCUGCACAAUCUGGACAUAUCGAUAUUCUACUGUACCUUCUUGAGCAUAGCCCAGAUCAUCCAGAGACCGGUCAUCAGGAAGCCAUUGACACCGCCAAUGGAGAUGGAC